AUCUGGCUGACGAGUCCCGAAUAGGACGAAACGCGCAUCCUAGUU
rfam:Schistosoma mansoni strain Puerto Rico chromosome W, complete genome